AGGACUACAAGAUCAUGACCUGAGCUGAAGGGGAAAAUGUCCCAAGUGAGAUCUGCUACCAUUGUUCCUGCUCAACCAAAGCCAUUUACUUCAUCAGAUACUAUGCCGAGCCCAGGUCUCUUCAAGUACACAUUGGGGAAGUAUCUUAAAGGCAUAAAGGGUGACCAGAUAGACUGGGAAAAGACUCUUGACGGGCAAGGGGCAGAAGAAAUGGAAGUAAACAUAUAAUAAUUUUGUUUAAGACGAGUAGAAUAGGAACAAAAUAGGCACAUAUUUGAAAAGGAAAUCACUCUUGAACUCACUUCCACUAUUUGUCCAACAAGUUAGACAAUGUUAAUGCAAGAUUACACUGAGUCUGCUCCCGCCAGGGAGAUAGCUCUACAAGAAAAAAAUGAGAUAAACCACAUAACUUCUCUUGAACACAUCCAAGAGCUAAGGUUUCAGGUCAGCUAAGUACUCUCAGGAGAGACAGACCUUCCCAAGGAGAGACAGGGAAGAGCCGUAGCUGACCUGUGGCAGAGCCUGGCAGGAGGAGACACCAGAUACCAUGUAUACCUGUAAGAAGAAUUCAGGUAAAUUUUUAAUGAACUGCCAAAGGCUUAUGUGAGGUAACAAGAAGUGUAGAAUCCCUGAAAGUGCAGACACAAUGGGAAUUUACACCCACUAGCAGGCUCUUCUCAGAAUUUACCAGGUGCUCCAGAGAGACCAGAAGCAGAGAUGCAGGCUUGGAAAGGGAGCAGCCAUCACUACAAGAAAGGCGUGGAGCUCUGCCCAGACCCUACUUCCUUAGAGUCAAAAGCCCUAGGGAGAAGGGCAGCACCCUUGCAGGGAACACGCGAAGACCACAGAAGACCACGGUGAUUGAGAUAAAGGUAAAAACAAACAAACAAACAAAACUUCUAGUCCUAGGGGAAGGGCAGGACACUCUUCCCUGCAAAGAACCUGCAAAAGAUGUGGGCGAUUGGCUACUCUCAGAAUCACCGAGAAGACCCAACUCCCCCAAGACUUGGGGCAUAGGGCCCGCUUAGGAGUAGGGCAGGACCUGCACAGCAGAAAACCUUCCUCAACCUCCACCUCAAUCCUCCACCCACCAGGAAACCCCAAGAAUCAAGGAAUAGCUUCCUUCCAUGGUAGAAAGACCCUUCGAGGGCUCAGGACCACAGGAAAGGCUGCACAGACAGGACGGAGCAGAAAUGCUGAGAAAAGCCCUCCAGCAACCUAGCGCCUUGCCCUGCCCUCCAUAUUACAAGUACUGAAAACCAGAGUCAUAAAGAAAAUUUUGAAGGCAGCCAGAGAAAGAAGACAUUAAAUGCAGAAGAGCAAAGAUGGGAAUUACAUACCAGCCUUCUUGCUGGAACUGCAAACCAGAAGACAGUGAGUGACAUCUUUCAAGUGCUGAAAGAAAAUAAUGGUCUAAUGAUAGAGACCAAACUGAGGGUAGGGCUUUAUUACCUUUACUACCUCCCAGACAAUCAAAGGAUCUUAGAACCCCUUAACACAGGGCGCCU